rnacentral:rRNA from 1 species
GUGUUCCAGGUAAAUCCGGUUCACUUUAACACUGAGGCGUGACGACGAGGCACUACGGUGCUGAAGCAACAAAUGCCCUGCUUCCAGGAAAAGCCUCUAAGCAUCAGGUAACAUCAAAUCGUACCCCAAACCGACACAGGUGGUCAGGUAGAGAAUACCAAGGCGCUUGAGAGAACUCGGGUGAAGGAACUAGGCAAAAUGGUGCCGUAACUUCGGGAGAAGGCACGCUGACACGUAGGUGAAGUGAUUUACUCAUGGAGCUGAAGUCAGUCGAAGAUACCAGCUGGCUGCAACUGUUUAUUAAAAACACAGCACUGUGCAAACACGAAAGUGGACGUAUACGGUGUGACGCCUGCCCGGUGCCGGAAGGUUAAUUGAUGGGGUCAGCGCAAGCGAAGCUCCUGAUCGAAGCCCCGGUAAACGGCGGCCGUAACUAUAACGGUCCUAAGGUAGCGAAAUUCCUUGUCGGGUAAGUUCCGACCUGCACGAAUGGCGUAAUGAUGGCCAGGCUGUCUCCACCCGAGACUCAGUGAAAUUGAACUCGCUGUGAAGAUGCAGUGUACCCGCGGCAAGACGGAAAGACCCCGUGAACCUUUACUAUAGCUUGACACUGAACAUUGAGCCUUGAUGUGUAGGAUAGGUGGGAGGCUUUGAAGUGUGGACGCCAGUCUGCAUGGAGCCGACCUUGAAAUACCACCCUUUAAUGUUUGAUGUUCUAACGUGGACCCGUUACCCGGGUUGCGGACAGUGUCUGGUGGGUAGUUUGACUGGGGCGGUCUCCUCCUAAAGAGUAACGGAGGAGCACGAAGGUUGGCUAAUCCUGGUCGGACAUCAGGAGGUUAGUGCAAUGGCAUAAGCCAGCUUGACUGCGAGCGUGACGGCGCGAGCAGGUGCGAAAGCAGGUCAUAGUGAUCCGGUGGUUCUGAAUGGAAGGGCCAUCGCUCAACGGAUAAAAGGUACUCCGGGGAUAACAGGCUGAUACCGCCCAAGAGUUCAUAUCGACGGCGGUGUUUGGCACCUCGAUGUCGGCUCAUCACAUCCUGGGGCUGAAGUAGGUCCCAAGGGUAUGGCUGUUCGCCAUUUAAAGUGGUACGCGAGCUGGGUUUAGAACGUCGUGAGACAGUUCGGUCCCUAUCUGCCGUGGGCGCUGGAGAACUGAGGGGGGCUGCUCCUAGUACGAGAGGACCGGAGUGGACGCAUCACUGGUGUUCGGGUUGUCAUGCCAAUGGCACUGCCCGGUAGCUAAAUGCGGAAGAGAUAAGUGCUGAAAGCAUCUAAGC